UACAAAGGUCUCAAGCGUUGUUCGGAUUCAUUGGGCGUAAAGGGUGUGUAGGUGGCGCGCUAAGUCGGGUGUGAAAUUUCGGAGCUUAACUCCGAAACUGCAUUCGAUACUGGCGUGCUUGAGGACUGGAGAGGAGACUGGAAUUUACGGUGUAGCAGUGAAAUGCGUAGAUAUCGUAAGGAAGACCAGUGGCGAAGGCGGGUCUCUAGACAGUUCCUGACACUGAGACACGAAGGCCAGGGGAGCAAACGGG
rnacentral:rRNA from 1 species